UACGUAGGGUGCGAGCGUUAAUCGGAAUUACUGGGCGUAAAGCGUGCGUAGACGGUUAUGUAAGUCGGGUGUGAAAGCCCCGGGCUCAACUUGGGAAUUGCAUUCGAGACUGUGUAGCUAGGGUACGGAAGAGGGAAGCGGAAUUUCAGGUGUAGCGGUGAAAUGCGUAGAUAUCUGAAGGAACACCAGUGGCGAAAGCGGCUUCCUGGUCCAGUACCGACGUCAGGCACGAAAGCGUGGGGAGCAAACAGG
rnacentral:rRNA from 1 species